AGAAAACAAAGAGAGAAGGAAAACAAAACCUAGCACGACAUACAAAGACUCUCAACCCUCUCUCUCGAAUAGCCUCCCCGAAGCUCUCUAGUGAAACCUCGAUCUCUCUUGUGAAUCUCUCAGUCCUCCGCGAAAGCUCUCUGUCUCGUGAAACCUCUCUCGGCCCUCUCUCCCCAGUUUCCAAUUCCACACUUAAUUUCAACCCUCUAAAUCCCUCUCCUUCGCUCCUCUCUUUCCUCCACCACUCGUCUCUUCUUCAUCUUCCGAUUCUCUCGCUUUUCUUCUUCUGCUCUCAGAACCCAUCACCACAGUCCAAUUCUCCGACCAUCCGGCCACCCCCUCUGCCGCAACAGCCGAUCACUACUCCCUGCCGCUUCCACCCACUUCGCCAAGCGCUUCUCCUCCCUCUCCCCGCACGUUGUCGCCACUCCGUUAACCCCCUCGCCGUCAGUGUUCUCUGCUAUGGAAUUGGGGGUUGGGUCUAGCCAUCUGUGACUCGACUUGUUCUCCAGCUCAUUCCGAAGGAUCUCGAGCCUCUCGUCAUCGCCUUCGAAGACCUCGACAUGCAGAAACAGAUUCAUUCCGCAACAACAUUUUUGGGUUUUGGCAUAGUCACCAUCGAAGACCUCGACUCGUUCUCCAGCUCGUUCCGGGGCUGUUGAAAGCUUUCUCUUUGUCGUUAAGAAACACCAUAGAGAUCUUCAAGGGGUAAGCUGGACCGGACGCCUACUUGGGCCGUCGCCGGAGUCUGUGCUGUUAUCAUCAUCAUCUCUUUGAUUUUGGAGAAGGUCCUGCACAAAGUUGGAACGUGGCUUUCGGAGAGGCACAAGAGAGGUCUGUUUGAAGCUCUGGAGAAGGUUAAAGCGGAGCUCAUGAUUCUGGGUUUUAUUUCACUAAUCCUGACCUUCGGUCAAAGUUACAUUGCCAAAAUCUGUAUUCCGCUUAAGGUUGCAUACACUAUGCUGCCAUGUAGUCAAUCUUCAACUGCUUCGGAAGAUGAAGAAUCAACAAGUCGCAGAAGACUCUUAUCGACUGACCGCCGAUUUUUAGCUGCUGCAACUACUACUUCAUGCAAUAGUGGUUUUGAGCCACUGAUCUCUAUUAAUGGAUUGCACCAAUUGCACAUCCUCAUAUUCUUCUUGGCUGUCUUUCACGUAGCAUACAGUGCUAUCACAAUGCUUCUUGGGAGGCUAAAGAUUCGAGGAUGGAAGGCAUGGGAGGCUGAGACUUCAUCGCAUAGCUAUGAGUUCUCAAAUGUAAUGGAGAGAGGGUUUCAAAUACAAAUGCAGUAUAAUCUACUGGAAAAGAAAAGAAAAGGAGAGAUUUGAUCUACAAAAAGCACUUUUGGCUGCUCUUUUCAAUGCUCCUGAGAGACCCAAGGAGCCGGAGCUAGAAAGACCCGAGGAGCCGGAGCUACCAAAAAAAAGAACAGUAAGAUCAAGCAAGGGUCAUUGGGAGAUCAAGCAUGGACUACCAAGCUAUACUUUCCUUCAUCAUGCAAAACUUAGGAAACUUAAAAGCUUCUUAGUCUAUGAUAUGUAUGAAUGCUUUAACAAUGUUCCUUAAAUUCAAUAUUUGAUGAAUUGAUGUAUCACAAUGCUUUUGGUACAAAUAUU